rnacentral:rRNA from 1 species
UACGGAGGAUCCGAGCGUUAUCCGGAUUUAUUGGGUUUAAAGGGAGCGUAGGCGGGUUGUUAAGUCAGUUGUGAAAGUUUGCGGCUCAACCGUAAAAUUGCAGUUGAUACUGGCAUCCUUGAGUACAGUAGAGGUAGGCGGAAUUCGUGGUGUAGCGGUGAAAUGCUUAGAGAUCAUACAGAACACCGAUUGCGAAGGCAGCUUACCAAGCUACUUCUGACGUUGAGGCACGAAAGCGUGGGGAGCAAACAGG